CCCAAGCCUAGCCUGACGAGGUGAAAGCCAAGAACCUUCCUUGGUUGGCUUAGGGGUUCUAUUGAAGG
rnacentral:sRNA from 1 species